rnacentral:rRNA from 1 species
CACGGGGGGAGCAAGCGUUGUUCGGAAUCACUGGGCGUAAAGGGCGUGUAGGCGGUCAGAUAAGUGGAAUGUGAAAUGCCCCGGCUCACCCGGGGACCGGCAUCCCAAACUGUCUGGCUUGAGUAUGGGAGAGGAUGAGGGAAUUCCUGGUGUAGCGGUGAAAUGCGUAGAUAUCAGGAGGAACACCGGUGGCGAAGGCGGCUCUCUGGGACGGUACUGACGCUGAGACGCGAAAGCGUGGGGAGCGAACAGG